rnacentral:rRNA from 1 species
CCUACGGGAGGCAGCAGUGGGGGAUAUUGGACAAUGGGGGGAACCCUGAUCCAGCGACGCCGCGUGAGUGAAGAAGUAUCUCGGUAUGGAAAGCUCUAUCAGCAGGGGAACAGAAAUGACGGUACCUGAGCAAGAAGCCCCGGCUAACCACGUACCAGCAGCCGCGGUAAUACGUGGGGGGCCAGCGUUAUCCGGAAUUACUGGGUGUAAAGGGAGCGUAGGCGGUGAUGUAAGUCUGGAGUGAAAGGCGGGGGCCCAACCCCCGGACUGGCCUGGAAACUAGGUGACUGGAGUGCAGGAGAGGUGAGCGGAAUGCGUGGUGUAGCGGUGAAAUGCGUAGAUAUUAGGAGGAACACCAGUGGCGAAGGCGGCACACUGGAUUGUCACUGACGUUGAGGCUCGAAAGCGUGGGGAGCAAACAGGAUUAGAUACCCUGGUAGUC